rnacentral:lncRNA from 1 species
AUUAACAUAAAAAGAAAGAAAACACUAAUCACAUAAGAUUUAACUAAUAUAAAGAAACACCUAAACUUUAAAAACCUUUCACUUUAUUUGAUCAUCUUUCUUUCUUUACAUUGCAUUUUCAUAAUAUAUUUUAAGGGCAUCACCCACUAAUCAGAUAAGGUGGGGAUUUGAUCACUUUUCUUUAGCCCACAAACCACAACCUUCAUUUACAUUAACCCAAGCCUUAAAAUAAAAUCAAUUAGAUGUCAAUCCUAGGGACAUCUGAGCUCAUUAGGAUAGGAAAAUCUAAGAGUU